rnacentral:rRNA from 1 species
UACGUAGGGGGCUAGCGUUGUCCGGAAUCAUUGGGCGUAAAGCGCGCGUAGGCGGCCCGGUAAGUCCGCUGUAAAAGUCAAAGGCUCAACCUUUGAAUGUCAGUGGAUACUGCCGGGCUAGAGUCCGGAAGAGGCGAGUGGAACUCCUGGUGUAGCGGUGGAAUGCGCAGAUAUCAGGAGGAACACCGGUGGCGAAGGCGGGUCUCUGGGCCGUAACUGACGCUGAGGAGCGAAAGCGUGGGGAGCGAACAGG